AUACAACAUUAUCAACCUGCUACAACAUUAUCAACCUGUACAACUAAACACAACAUUACCGACCUGCUACAACUCAACACAACAUUACCGACCUGCUACAACUCAACACAACAUUACCAACCUGCUACAACUCAACACAACAUUACCAACCUGCUACAACUAAAUACAACAUUAUCAACCUGCUACAACAUUAUCAACCUGUACAACUAAACACAACAUUAUCGACCUGCUACAACUAAACACAACAUUAUCGACCUGCUACACAGAGAGGAACCAAGCAUAAAUGUCUUUUUCCAUUGAUUGAAAAUAGCUGUCACUGCAGGGGGAUGUUUGUAGCCAUCUUUUCAUUUUAUUUUCUCCUUCAUGUGGGAACAUCUAUAAUAUUAGACCCAUCUCUUUAUUCUCUUGAAUGACCUGUACAGACCAGGGUCUGUACCGACCCCGAGCUGGACUGAGGAGGUUUUAUACAGACCAGGGUCUGUAUCGACCCAGAGCUGGACUGAGGAGGUUUUAUACAGACCAGGGUCUGUACCGAGCUGGACUGAGGAGGUUUUAUACAGACCAGGGUCUGUAUCGACCCAGAGCUGGACUGAGGGGUUUUAUACAGACCAGGGUCUGUACCGACCCAGAGCUGGACUGAGGAGGUUUUAUACAGACCAGGGUCUGUAUCGACCCCGAGCUGGACUGAGGAGGUUUUAUACAGACCAGGGUCUGUACCGACCCAGAGCUGGACUGAGGAGGUUUUAUACAGACCAGGGUCUGUGAUCAACCAAGAUGGACUGAGGAGGUUUUAUACAGACCAGGAUCUGUACCGACCCCGAGCUGGACUGAGGAGGUUUUAUACAGACCAGGGUCUGUACCGACCCCGAGCUGGACUGAGGAGGUUUUAUACAGACCAGGGUCUGUACUGAGCUGGACUGAGGAGGUUUUAUACAGACCAGGGUCUGUACCGACCCCGAGCUGGACUGAGGAGGUUUUAUACAGACCAGGGUCUGUACCGACCCCGAGCUGGACUGAGGAGGUUUUAUACAGACCAGGGUCUGUACCGAGCUGGACUGAGGAGGUUUUAUACAGACCAGGGUCUGUAUCAACCCCGAGCUGGACUGAGGAGGUUUUAUACAGACCAGGGUCUGUAUCGACCCAGAGCUGGACUGAGGGGUUUUAUACAGACCAGGGUCUGUACCGAGCUGGACUGAGGAGGUUUUAUACAGACCAGGAUCUGUACCGACCCAGAACUGGACUGAGGAGGUUUUAUACAGACCAGGGUCUGUAUCGACCCAGAGCUGGACUGAGGAGGUUUUAUACAGACCAGGGUCUGUACCGACCCAGAACUGGACUGAGGAGGUUUUAUACAGACCAGGGUCUGUACCGACCCAGAGCUGGACUGAGGAGGUUUUAUACAGACCAGGGUCUGUGAUCAACCAAGAUGGACUGAGGAGGUUUUAUACAGACCAGGAUCUGUACCGAGCUGGACUGAGGAGGAUUUAUACAGACCAGGGUCUGUACCGAGCUGGACUGAGGGGUUUUAUACAGACCAGGGUCUGUACCGAGCUGGACUGAGGAGGUUUUAUACAGACCAGGGUCUGUACCGACCCAGAGCUGGACUGAGGAGGUUUUAUACAGACCAGGGUGUGUACCGAGCUGGACUGAGGAGGUUUUAUACAGACCAGGGUCUGUAUCAACCCCGAGCUGGACUGAGGAGGUUUGAUACAGACCAGGGUCUGUACCGACCCAGAGCUGGACUGAGGAGGUUCUAUACCUGGUCUGUGUUCAACCAAGAUGGAAGAGGAACGACUCAAACAUCCGAAUCUUAGUGCCAAGGUUACCGUGGAAACAGAGGAGGGGAACUGAUUUGUCUAAGUAACUAAUAUUAAAACAUUAAAAAAAUAAGUGUUAUGUAAA
rnacentral:lncRNA from 1 species